rnacentral:rRNA from 1 species
ACGACGCUGGCGGCGUGCUUAACACAUGCAAGUCGAACGAGGGUUAUUGGAGAGCUUGCUCGAAGGUAACUCGAGUGGCGGACGGGUGAGUAACGCGUGAGCAACCUGUCUCACACAGGGGGAUAACGCAUCGAAAGAUGUGCUAAUACCGCAUGAGACCACGGAAGGACAUCCUUCAGAGGUCAAAGGAGAAAUCCGGUGUGAGGUGGGCUCGCGUCUGAUUAGAUAGUUGGUGAGGUAACGGCUCACCAAGUCAGCGAUCAGUAGCCGACCUGAGAGGGUGAUCGGCCACAUUGGGACUGAGACACGGCCCAGACUCCUACGGGAGGCAGCAGUGGGGAAUAUUGGGCAAUGGGCGCAAGCCUGACCCAGCAACGCCGCGUGAGGGAAGAAGGUUUUCGGAUUGUAAACCUCUGUCCUGUAUGAAGAGGAGAAGACGGUAGUACAGGAGGAAGCCCCGGCUAACUACGUGCCAGCCGCAGC